GUAAAAUAAAAAAAAAAAUUUGGCACCCCUUAAGUGUUUAUUAAAUCUUUUGGAACCCCUUUAUAUAUUUAUUAAAUACAUUUUUAACUCCACUCUUUCAUUAAAUACCAAAAAAAAAUUCGCUCAUCUUCUUUCGUUACUCUCUCCUGCUUCAUAUCCCCUUUCCACCAUUUUUUAAUUUCAAACUUGUGUAAAUCAUCUCCAACUUCGAUCUUCAACUUCAGGUAAGAUAUACUCACUUUCUGAUUAAUUUGUGCUCCAUAUUGAUGGCUGUUUUUUUUUGAAUUCGUUUGUGGUGGUUGAAUUCAUUGGAGUUAAAUUUUUUUUAUUUUUUUUUUGAAAACGGGGAUUGAUUUUACUGGACUUGGUUGUUUUUAGUUGGUAUUUACUUGAUUGUUGAUGGAUAAUUGGUGUACAUCGAUUAUCCUUGGCGAUUGCAUGUUGAAAUUUCUUCACUAGUUUCAUCGGAAUGUGGCAAGAUAUGUGAUUUUUGUUCAAACUUUUCUCCAAUGUAAUGAUAUUGUAGAAGCAUGUUAAUGUUGGGAAUUCCUUGGUUUGAAUCAUACUCGUAUUUGAUAUUUGGACCUGAAAAAAUGGUGCUUGAUUUUACUUAAAAUUUGUGUUUUUAAGUUGGUAUUUGGUUUGAUUGUGCAUUGUUUUUGUAGGAUUUUAAUUUCCCUCAACGAUUGCAUUGAGAUUUUUUUUUGUCAAUUUUUCUUGAUUUUCACGCUAAAAAUCUGGGUUCCUUCAUGUUUUUGUUCAAUAUAAUGGUGAUUUAGAUGUAUGUUCUUGUGGUGAUGGAGUUGUUUUAGAAGAAACUUCUUCUGCAAAUAGUCUUUUUUGGUGCUGCAAUUGCUUUCAUGUUAAUAGACUGUUAGGUCGAUUAGGUAUUGUAUUUGUUGUUAUAGUUGAGAAAUAUUAUUUUUUGUCCGUAGAUCAUAACAAAUGACUACAGGUAACAAACAUAAGGCUAUAGAAGUUGAUAGGUCUGAGAAAAGAAAAAAAUGAGUAGUCGAUGGAUUGGAGAAUAGAAAUUGCAGUGAGGAAACUGUUGAAGCUUCGGUUCGAGAUGAGCCGGAGGAAAUAGAAAUUGAGGCUAGGAUAAAUGAGGUAGCAUUGAUCUUGCUCCACUGUGCAAGAUUUAUUUUGGUUGAGAGGUAUGACCUUGCCAUAGUCCUGGAUGAUGUUGGAUCAUUUCCAACUAAGAUAUCCAUUAGGUCCCGUUUGAAAAUGUUUUAUGAAUUCAAAGAAGUCGUGAUUGAUCAACGUCUGAAGUUUAGGUUUAAGAAUUCCUGUUUUGGUACUUUAUGGGACUUGCCAGAACAUAUGAAGUUCAACGGACAACUUGUCCACUAUACACUUCUUCGCCAAGUUGAACAGGACAACAAGCUGCAUGAAAUGUGGUUCUGCAUCAAUGAUAGGCCUAUAUGUUUUGGCCUGAAUGAGUUUACGCUAAUCACGGAUUUAAAAUGUGGAUGUUAUCUCCGUGAUUCAUAAUAUGUCAAAGUGAUGGAGGAGGGUGAAGAUUUUUUCAAAAAGAUUGCGAAAAAAGAAGUGUAAAUGCGAAGAGAUUGAUGAAGCUUAUUAGAGGUGGGAGGCUAAACAAGAAGGACAAGUUCAAAUGCUGCUUGGUUUGGUUCAUGCACUGCAUAUUGCCUGCACGCGACUUGUCAAAAAUCAUGGACAUAGACCCCAUCAAGAUGGUGGAUAACUUGAGCUUCUUUGAGAGAUACCCUUGGGGUAAGGAGUCAUUUGCCUUGACUCUAGACUAUUUGAACAAGUGGAUAGACUUCAGCAGGCAGAAGAAGACAUUUGUGACAAAGGGAGUUUGGUCGUAUGCGCUCUACGAAUUUUCCUGGGCAUUUAUGAUUUGAAUAUACGAAGCCUUUUCUGCGCUCGACAGGAAAAAUGGUAAAUAAAUUGAAAACUCGCUGCCCUUUUCCUGAUUGCUCAGAUGGCAUACCUCAAAAGGCGAUAAACUAAUCGAAGCUGUAGAGAGUGCACCCGUACCUUAUCCCUACAAUCCGUGAAAUGAAGCAGCACUACAUGAAAAAGUUCAAAGCAUUCACGGACGAACCAAAGGACACAUUCAACAAUGGCUUGAAGGCCCAUCUGGAAGGUGUGACUGUCAUCACCUCAUCAGAGAAUGGUGAAGAUGGGUAUGACCAGAAUAUGGGUGAAAAUGUUAUUUCUAGACAUGUCACUUGAGGUGCGGGAACGAGUAAGCCGAGAGCAUCGAAAAAGACGCUGAUGAUUGAAAAUCUAAAAGAGCGCGUGUUUAGGUUGGAGGAUUCGAUCAAGGACAUCUUUGAAUUUGUGAAAGAAGAGAGGUUUAGGAGAGAAGAAAAGGAGAAAUAAAAGAACAGAGAUGAAAAUGAAGGUGUGCAGGUGUAAAGUCGGCAUUCAGCGGCGAGGUCUGUCCGCGAUGACAGCGGCAUUAAAGAACCUCUCUUUGAUGCAGCAACUUUGGAACAGGCCUCGGUCAAUGCUAAUGAAGUGAUAAUCCCUGAGGUUGCAGCUGUUGUAAAGAAGAAAAAUCUCGAUGAAGGCGAUGAAGAGAAAGAAGGGAAUAAAUGAAGAAGCUGUUGGUGAAGAAGAAAACAAAGUUGAUGGAUCAGUUGGUGUGGAGAAGGAGGAUCAUAACGAAAGCAGGCAGGAUGAAGAAGAAUAAAUAUGAGAAAAGUGUUUGUGAAGAAGAAAACAAUGAAGGAGAUGGAGAGGAAGCAGAAGAGAAGAAGUCAGGAAAAGUAGAGAAAGAAGAAGGAAAAAUGAUGCACCAAAAAAAGAAGGUAUCGCGGGAAAAGAAAAUGAGAAUGAAUUUUCAAAUUUAGAUGAAUUUUUUAAUGAAGUUACUCAAGACAUUGACAAGAUGCAAGUGAAAGAUGAAAAUAUUCAAUGUUUAGACAAUGUUUAAUUUUUAUUUGAGGCUGAUGACUAUUUUUAUUAGACUAGACAAUCUUAACUUUUAACUUUCAGCUCGGGAUGUGUACAGCUGAACAAUUUUGUUUUAUAAACUGCUUUUAUAGUUUAUGAUAAACAUUUUAAAUUUAUAUAAUCAACGUAUCAUUGCCUUUA